rnacentral:ncRNA from 1 species
AAAGAGCCAAUUAAAAAGCAUAGUAAAUCUAUUAGAAAAAUAUUCAAGAGAAAAUGAUCUAGGCUGGAAAUCAUUUAUAUUUUGUAGAUUGAAAUUUCACUUUUUAGGUCUUUUUCUGAAAAGAGAUAAGUAGGAAAAAGCGGUUGAACCGUUAAAACUAUAAUGAGGUUAGAUAUUAAACUAAUAAAAUUAGGUGGUACCACGAAAGAUAAGCCAUUUCGUCCUAUGU